UUGUUUGUUUGAUAGUUCACAUUAGUGGCCGAUAUCAGACUCCAGUGUGAACUGUCCGCGGCCUGAAUGUGACCCCCAUGUGCAGUGGAACAACACAAUGUCACAAGCAGUAGCAGCUGUUCCAGGCUACAGAAGUAAACAAGGAGCAACAGAGGUUAGGUUAGCUCAGGAUGCCUCCAGUUUUACACACAUUUGGAUUUUUACUGCUUGUGCUUUCAAGCAAAGUGGAGAGUGUUACCUUUAAACAGUCCUCUUCUCAAGUUGUGAAUGAAGGGACUGAGGAACUCAGGAUUACCUGCAGUCAUGAUGACAGCAGUCUCCAAGUUAUGCUGUGGUACCAACACAAACAGAGCAGCCGGUCUAUGAGCCUCAUUGGAUACACAGUCCUCACAGGUGAACCAAGCUACGAGGACCAGUUUAAAAGCUCCAGAUUCCAAAUAAAAGGAGAAGACACAGGGAGUGGAUAUCUGAUCAUUAGCAUGGUGAAUCUGUCAGACUCAGCUGUGUAUUUCUGCGCUGCCAGCACACAGUGAUGUGGUUUAAUGGCACUGCUUCACUAAAAACCUGCUCCGACAUGGAAACUAAUAACAGCUGUUACUCAGGGGUUUAGUUAUUUGAGAACUGAAAGUAUUAUGCUGUUAAUUGGGGCAUGAUUUAUUUAUAGUAUUACUAAUAAAUGGUA